rnacentral:rRNA from 1 species
GACGAACGCUGGCGGCGUGCCUCACACAUGCAAGUCGAACGGGGAUAUAUUGAAAGCUUGCUUUUGAUAUAUCCUAGUGGCGAACGGGUGAGUAACACGUGAGCAACCUGCCCGACAAACCGGGAUAACAGCGGGAAACUGCUGCUAAUACCGGAUACACCAGGUAUGGCGCAUGCUGUAUCUGGGAAAGGGUUUACCGAUGUCGGAUGGGCUCGCGUCCCAUUAGCUAGUUGGUGAGGUAACGGCUCACCAAGGCGACGAUGGGUAGCUGGUCUGAGAGGACGAUCAGCCACACUGGAACUGAGACACGGUCCAGACUCCUACGGGAGGCAGCAGUGGGGAAUCUUGCACAAUGGGCGAAAGCCUGAUGCAGCGACGCCGCGUGGAGGAUGAAGGCCUUCGGGUCGUAAACGUCCUGUCUGGGGGAGUGAACGACUGACAGUACCCCGGACGGAAGGCCCCGGCUAACCUACGUGCCAGCAGCCGCGGUAAAG